rnacentral:tRNA from 1 species
ACCUGGAUGACUCAGUAGGUUGAGUGUCUGGCUUCAGCCCAGGUCAUGAUCUUGCAGUUUGUGGGUUCGAGCCCCACAACGGGCU